CUUAUUAAGAGAGACGGAGGGAAAGGCCCUAUGAAGUCCGGCAACCAGUAUUGAUCAAUACAAUGGUGCUAAUUCCUACAGCAUGUAGCUGAAAAAUGAGG
rnacentral:ncRNA from 1 species